rnacentral:rRNA from 1 species
UACCAGCACCCCGAGUGGUCGGGACGAUUAUUGGGCCUAAAGCAUCCGUAGCCGGUCAUGCAAGUCCUCCGUUAAAUCCACCUGCUUAACAGAUGGGCUGCGGAGGAUACUACAAGGCUAGGAGGCGGAAGAGGCAAGCGGUAACUCAGUGGGGUAGGGGGUAAAAAUCCUCUGAUCCAUGAAGACCACCAGUGGCGAAAGG